rnacentral:rRNA from 1 species
CGGCGACGAGAUUUCGGUCAAAUCAAGUGUAUCUUUAUUGGCGGACGGGUGAGUAACGCGUGGGUAACCUGCCAUAUACAGGGGGAUAACACUUAGAAAUAGGUGCUAAUACCGCAUAAGCGCACAUGGCCGCAUGGCCAGGUGUGAAAAACUCCGGUGGUAUAUGAUGGACCCGCGUCUGAUUAGCUAGUUGGUGAGGUAACGGCCCACCAAGGCGACGAUCAGUAGCCGGCCUGAGAGGGUGGACGGCCACAUUGGGACUGAGACACGGCCCAAACUCCUACGGGAGGCAGCAGUGGGGGAUAUUGGACAAUGGGGGGAACCCUGAUCCAGCGACGCCGCGUGAGUGAAGAAGUAUCUCGGUAUGUAAAGCUCUAUCAGCAGGGAAGAAAGAAAUGACGGUACCUGAGUAAGAAGCCCCGGCUAACUACGUGCCAGCAGCCGCGGUAAUACGUAGGGGGCAAGCGUUAUCCGGAAUUACUGGGUGUAAAGGGAGCGUAGACGGUGAUGUAAGUCUGGAGUGAAAGGCGGGGGCCCAACCCCCGGACUGCUCUGGAAACUAUAUGACUGGAGUGCAGGAGAGGUGAGCGGAAUUCCUAGUGUAGCGGUGAAAUGCGUAGAUAUUAGGAGGAACACCAGUGGCGAAGGCGGCUCACUGGACUGUAACUGACGUUGAGGCUCGAAAGCGUGGGGAGCAAACAGGAUUAGAUACCCUGGUAGUCCACGCCGUAAACGAUGAUCACUAGGUGUGGGUGGGUAUGGACCCAUCGGUGCCG